rnacentral:rRNA from 1 species
UACGGGGGGAGCAAGCGUUGUUCGGAUUUACUGGGCGUAAAGGGCGCGUAGGCGGUCAGCACAAGUCAGUUGUGAAAUCUCUGGGCUUAACCCGGAAAGGUCAACUGAUACUGUGCGACUAGAGUGCGGAAGGGGCAACUGGAAUUCUCGGUGUAGCGGUGAAAUGCGUAGAUAUCGAGAGGAACACCUGCGGCGAAGGCGGGUUGCUGGGCCGACACUGACGCUGAUGCGCGAAAGCGUGGGGAGCAAACAGG